AAGUUCUAUUUGUGCAUCAAAGUAAAAGUAGAAUUUUUGUACUAAGUCUUAAAACUUACUGUUUGAAAUUAUGUAUUGUAAAUAAUGCAUUCUUGGGGAAAGGAUGAAUACUGUAAGAGUUACCACUUUUUCUUAUGUUUGGAAGGAUAAACUUAGUUUAAUAAGAACAUUGAGUUUUAGUUGAAAAAAUUGUAAAUUAUGGAUCAGAUUUCAUGCAUUCAUAAUCAUUGUAUUGUACCUUUAUAGCCAGAAAAGAAUAAAAAGGAAGCUAGUGACUUAUACAUCCUAACACUUUAAACUAGGUCAGUAACAGGGACAGACCCUGAAAAUCACUGAUUUACAGAUGGGGACAGCAUAAGUUAGAAAAGAUAAUGAGAUUGAGAUCAUCAAGAGCCAUGAAAAACAAACUAAAAAUCUUCAGCUUUGGUAAAGAAUAUGUUCCUUUGUUAGGUUCAUUUUAUAACUAGAGACAUGCAUUGACUGUGGUGUGCAAAAUUGUCUAGAAAGGUGAGACAUGUCAGAAAGAUCUGAUAAACUCAUUUUUUCUUCUCCUAGUAGUUCAGGAGACUUUCAUAAAACAACUUAAUACUUUAGAUAGGAAAGAACUAGAGAUUACUUUUAAUUACCACACUUUUGGAAGACAGUUUAACUUUACCUAGAAAUGAAUUGUAAAGUUUACUUAAUUUUAAUUAACAUUAUAAAAAUCAGACUUCUACUCAUUGAAAGAUACCAUUAGAGGAUGGCAUUGUGUUGUAGUAGGUAAAGCCACCACCUGCCAUGCCAGCAUCCCAUAUAGGUUCUGAUUCAUGUCCCAGAUGCUCCACUUCCCAUCCAGCUCCCUGCUAAUGGCCUGGGAAAAGGAGCGGAAAAUGGCCAAAGUGUUGGGCACCUACCACCCAUGUGGGACAUUUGAAUGAAGCUCCUGGCUCUGGCCUGGCCAUUGUGGCCAUCUGGGGAGUGAACCAGCUCUGUAACUCUUAAGAAAUAAAUCUUUAUACACACAGAGACACACACACACACACCAUUAAGGGCUGGCACUGUGGUGCAGCAGGUUAAUUAAGCUGCUACUUGCCACACCAGUAUCCCAUGUCAGAAUGCCAGUUCAAGUCCUGGUUACUUCCAAUCCAGCUUCCUGCCAGUAGGUGUAGGAAGGCAAUGAAAGAUGGACCAAGUGCUUGGAUUUUGCCCAAGGUGAUCAGGGCUGGGCCUUCUGAGUAGAUUAAUCCAUUCAUAGAAUUAAUGGGUUGUUUCAGUAGUGGGUCUGCUAUAAAAGCCAGUGUGGCUGUCUCUCAUGUUUUCUGUUUCUCACCAUUUGAUGCCCUCCCUGUACUACCUCAGAAUUUUGUCAUCUAAAAGACCAUCCCCGGAUGCAGCCCCUUUAUCUUGGACCAGAACUGUGAGUCAAAACUUACAUAUUUUUUAAAGAUUUAUUUUACUUUGAAAGGCAAGAUUAGAGAAAGAAGAAGAGAGAUCUUGCAGCCAGGCCAGAGCCAGGAGCUUCAUUUGGGUGUCCCACAUGUGCGCAGGGGUCCAAGGAUCUGGGCGAUCUUCUGCUUUCCCAGGUGCAUUGGCAGGGAGCUGGAUUGGAAUUGGAGCAGCAGGGACUGAACUGGCACCCACAUGGGAUGGAGGUGGCAGCUUAACCGUUAAGCGAAAGUGCCGGCCCCAAAACUUCUCUCUUUAAGGUACCCAAUCUAUGAUACUGUGUUAUUAACAACAAAACGGACUAAGAUAGAAAAUUAGUGCUGAGAAGUGGGACUGUUGCUUAUAAUGCCUAUCUGAAAAUAUAUUGGAAGUGGGUUUAGAACUAGGUAAUGGGUAGAUGCUGGAACAGUUUUGAAAUGAAUUGGUAUAACAGCAUUCAGGGUAGUUCUGAUGAGGGCUCAGGAGGCAAAAUGCUGAGUGGUCGUGACUAGAGUGCUGAGAGAUUAUGAACAGUAAAGGCCAUACUGAUGAGGUCUCAGAUGGAAAUGAGAACUAUCUUAAAGGACACUGGAAAAGGGGCCAUCCUUAUUACAGAAUAAUGAAGAAUUUGGCUGCGUUAUGUCCAUGCUGUAGGGUUUGAUGGAAGGCUGAAACAGAGUGGUGAAUCUGGCAGGAAAAGACCCCUAAGCAGCCAGUCAUUCAGGCUGCUGCAUGGCUGCUUUUGGUUACUGUGGUUCAGGGGCCAAGGGAAGCAGAGUAGGAAGAUUGGGAGGCCGGCGCCGUGGCUCAAUAGGCUAAUCCGCCUUGCAGCGCCGGCACACCGGGUUCUAGUCCCGGUCAGGGCACUGGAUUCUGUCCUGGUUGCCCCUCUUCCAGGCCAGCUCUCUGCUGUGGCCUGGGAGUGCAGUGGAGGAUGGCCCAAGUGCUUGGGUCCUGCACCCCGUGGGAGACCAGGAGAAGCUCCUGGCUCCCGCCUUCGGAUCAGCGCAGUGCACCGACCGCAGCGCAUCAGCCACGGUGGCCAUUGGAGGGUGAACCAACGGCAAAGGAAGUCCUUUCUCUCUGUCUCUCUUUCACUGUCCACUCUGUCAAAAAUAAAUAAAUAAAAAAGAAAGAUUGGGAAAAUGUACAGCCUGAGAAGGAAAAAGUAUUUGAUAUGGGGGAGAAAGGCAUCUCAGAAAUCUGAGGCUGCCUGUCCCAUCACAGGUCUGGAGGCCUAGAAUGCCAGUUGUUUCAGGAAACAGGCCCAAGUCUGUCCCUGAGUCACUGCCUAGGGCUUGGGCCUCUGCUUCCCCCCAACCCAGACACUCCAGCCAUGGCUCAAACAGGCCCAAGUACAGCUUGUGCGAUUACUCAAGGGAGGAAGUGGCAGAACUAGGUGGGGUCCAUGUGGUGCUAAUACUGCAAGCUCCCAGAAUUUAACAGGGAUAAGUGUCACAGGGGUUCUGCACAGGGGUGGAGCUGCCACAGAGAGAGACAACUGGGGCAAUGCCUAACACAGCCAUGGGAGUGGGACUGGCACAGAGAUACCAGGACUGUAGAACUCCCAGUGUGCAGUGCCAGCCUGGGAGAGCCGCAUCCAUGAGUCUCCACGCAGAGUUGAAGUACAGACUGAGCCCAGCAAAGCCUCAGGGGUUGGGCUGCUCCAGGCUUUGGCUGCCCAGCCUCCACCCCAUUGUACACAGGUUGCCCUGCUGGGUUUUGGACUUGCUUUCUUCUGCCUUUUUUUUUUUUUUUUUUUUUUUUGAUAGGCAGAGUUAGAGACAGACAGAAAGGUCUUCCUUUUUCUGUUGGUUCACCUACGCUACGGCUUGGGCCAUCCUCCACUGCCUCCCCGGGCCACAGCAGAGAGCUGGACUGGAAGAGGAGCCACCGGGACAGAAUCUGGCGCCCCAGCUGGGACUAGAACCCAGGGUGCCAGUGCCACAGGCGGAGGAUUAGCCUAGUGAGCCGUGGCGCCGGCCUACUUUCUUCUAUUACUCUUCUCUACGGGACUGUUCCUUUGCGAAUGGGAAUGUGUACCCUGUGCCCAUGCCACCAUUGUAUAUAAGAAAUUGAUGACUUGUUUUGAUUUUACAGACUCAUAGCCAGAGGGAAUUCUCCUUGAAUCUCAGGUGAGACUUUGGAUUUUUGAAUUGGUGCUAACACAAGUUAAGACUUUGAUUAUUUGGAUGAAAUGAUUAUAUGUUGUGUGUGAGAAAGACACGCGUUUGGAGAGUUCAAGGGGAAGAAUGUUGUUAUUUGAAUUUGCUUUGUCUUCUCUGAAAUGCAUGGUGAAGUUAACCACUACUAUGAAGUAAAAAAAAAAAGUGGGACCUUUAAGAAGUGACUAGGGCUGUGCCCUCAUAAAUAAAUUAAUCCAUUCAUGUGAUACAUGGAUUAAUGGUUAUCUCAAGACUGCGUCUGCUAUAAAAGCCUGUUUUCCUAGGUCUCUUGUGUUCUGUCUCUUCCCAUGUGGUGCUCUGCAGUGCCUCAAGACUUUUGCAACACUGAUUGCAUAACCUUGGGAAAGUUAUUUAACUUCUGUGAGAUUCUGAGAUUUAUUUUCCUCAUCUAAAAUGAAGAUAAUAAAAGCACCUCUUUCAUAAGAUUUGGUGUGAGUAUUUCCUGAAACAGUGCAUAAUAUUGUGCCUGACGUUGGCAAGCAAACAAUGAGUACUAGUAUUUAUUCUCAUGGCUAUCUUAUCAUUAGUACUACCCAGUAAAGUCAAGUGACUUAUCCAGUGUUUCUUAGCUUGGUAGUAGCUGAGAAAGGACUUGAAUUUGCAUUCUCCAUACUGUUUGGUUUUUCUUUUUACAGGUAGAAUUUUUUUUUUUUUUAAUUUUUGGCUAAGUGUGUGACAUUAGUAAUACUUAGGAUCAAGGAAACUAGACUACACAAGUGACAUGAGAUUUGAUAUAUUUUUAUGUACUCAGCAAAUUGAUGGCUAUGUGCCAAGAGUUAAGCUACAUAUUCCUUAAUUGUGUUAAGACAGUUUAGUCCUUUUGUGCUACUCUAACAAGAUACCUAAGCCUUAGUAAUUUUUAAAGAACAGAAGUUUAUUUCUCAUAGUUUUGGCGGCUGGGAUCAAGGUGCCUACAUAGGAUUGGUGUCUCAUGAAUCGCUUAUUGCGUUGAUGGUAUCUUCUUAGGAGGAUUUGGAGGGAGAAAAAAUGGACCUAAGCUAGUCCCCUCCAGCCUUUUAAAAAAAUUAUUUAUUUGAAAGGUAGAAUUACACAGAGAGAGAAGAAGAGACAGAUCUAUCUGCUGGUUCACUCCCCUCAAAUAGCCACAGCUGUGCCAGGCUGAUGCCAGGAAAUUUUUCUGGAUCUUCCAUGUGGGUGCAGGGGUCCAGGAACUUGGGCCCUCUGCUGCUGCUUUACCAGGCGCAUUAGCAAGGGGCUGGAUCAGAAGUGGAAUAGCUGGUACUCAAACUGGUGACUAUAUGGGAUGGUGGCACUGCAGGCCGGGACUUAACCCACUGCGCCACAGCAUUGGUGCCCCUCCGGCCUUUUCUAAAGGUACUAGUCCUGGGGCCAGACGUGUGGUGCAGUGAUCAGGUCACUGCUUGGGACACCUGCAUCCCAUAUGGGAGUGUCUGGUUUGUGUCCCAGUUACUCCACUUCUGAUCCAAUUUUCUGCUGAUGUACAUCCUGGAAGGCAGCAGAUGAUGGCCCAGAUAACUGGGUCCCUGCCACCCAAGGGGAGACCCGGUUCUAGUUCCAAGCUCCUGGUCCAGUCCUGGCAUUUGGUGAGUGACCCUGCAGAUGGAAGAUCUUGUUCUAUUGCUCUGCCUUUCAUGUAAAAUGAAAAAUAAAAGUUAAAGGCACUAAUCCCCUUACGUGGGCAGAGACAUCACGACUUAAUUACCUCCCCUGAGGCCUCACCUUUUAAUACCACUUUGAUGAAGAUUAAGUUUCAACAUGCAUUGUGAGGAGAACAUAAAAUCAAACUGUAGCAGAAGACAAAGGCCUAACGAAGACUUAAAGUAAUAGCCAAAAGGCUGAGGGUUUGAGAAAGAGUUUAGAAAUGCACUUUAUUAUAGAAAUUUCUCCCCUGGAGGGGGCUUUGGUCAAGGUCUGCCCCUCCCACUGUAUUGCUAAUCCCCUUCCUCUCCUUGCUCUUUUAGAAAAUAUGAUGGUUUUCUUGCCUUUUCACUGUCCCCUCCCUAAAAAUUCAGUCUAGAAGCUAUUAGGUGGGGCUGGGCCGAGGAAGACAGUGUUGUUAUGGCCAUGGUCAGAUAUCAUACACAGGAAGAGGGUUGUAUAGGAGCAACUUAUGUAGUGUUUCAGUCCAAAUGGGGGUGAUGAGGAUAUCCAUGUGGGGUGUCAGAGCCCAAAUGGGGUAGAGAAGUGACUCAGGCAGUGGCUGGUGAUGGUAACGGCCCAGCAAGGGUAUCAACAGGGUGAGAAAAGCAUUUGUGUGGCCGGCGCCAUGGCUCAAUAGGCUAAUCUUCUGCCUGCGGCGCCGGCACACCGGGUUCUAGUCCCGGUCGGGGUGCCAGAUUCUGUCCCGGUUGCCCCUCUUCCAGGCCAGCUCUUUGCUGUGGCCCGGGAGUGCAGUGGAGGAUGGCCCAAGUGCUUGGGCCCUGCACCCCAUGGGAGACCAGGAGAAGCACCUGGCUCCUGGUUUCGGAUCAGUGCGGUGCGCCGGCCGCAGUGGCCAUUGGAGGGUGAACCAAUGGCAAAGGAAGACCUUUCUGUCUCUCUCUCUCUCUCUCUCUUUCUCUCUCUCUCUCCCUCUCUCUCUCCACUCUGCCUGUCAAAAAAAAAAAAAAAAAAAAAAAAAACAUUUGUGUGGGAACAGUCCCAGCAUGAGGUAUCAGAACCUGAAUGGGGUUAAAGGAGCUUCUGUGCAGAGGACAGUGUUGGAAUAUUGCUUACAUGCAGAGGUACUGGUCAGAUAGGUAAAUAUAUCAAGGAUAAUGGGAGCCAGGCUUUUCACUGUCAUGGAAGGGGUUAUAGAUCUAGAAAAUACUAGAAUGAACUUUGUAGUGUUGGGUUGGAAUAGAAGGUACUGGUAUGAAUUCACAGUUUUCAAGAUAGAGGAGUAGUUCUGGUGAAAAUAUAUGUGUGUACACAUGCAUGCACACACACGUUAGUUACAUCCUGUGAAAUCCCUGGGGGUCAGUGACACCUCAGUAGCAAUGAGCAUACCUAGCAAUGUAAACCUUGGUUUUUAAAUACAGUCUUCACUAAGGGGAACCAGGGUUUCUUGGAGAAAUGGCUGAUUCCAGAACUGUGGCAGAGAAUAUACAAGACAAUGCUGCUGGAACAUCUGACUCCGGGAAGUAAGGAAAUGUUCCAAGAAUAAUGAGGACAUGCCAAAAGGACACAGAAGCCAGUCUGCAGGGACUCUUACUGGUCAAAUAUGGACAGUUUGAGCAUCAAAACAAAUAAUAUAUUUUAACCCAUUGGAUAAUAAGAAUCCAUAGAGAGAAAAUGCGUGAAUUGAAAGUUUGGUGAAAAAUAGGAUAUUGUCUCAGAAUAACCUCCUUUACAAAAUACUAAUUAAUAACGAUAAGAAAAGAAUACAGUGGGAAGCCUGGCAGACACUAACUGAAUCGUGGCUGAAGUUAAUUUCAUCAGCAAGGGGAGAAACCCAAAUCAUGCUCCACCUAAUAGCACGUAGAGAACAACACACCACCACCCUCAUGAUAUUCCUGCCAAAAUAGAUAGCCUGAAUCUAGUCAUGAGGAACUGAUCAUCAAACAAGUAAAAUGAAGAGACAUUCUACAAACUAAUUGGCCUGUAAUCUUCUCAAGUGUCAAGGUAUGAAAAUCCAAGACUGGGAAAUUGUUGGAGAAUGAAAGAGACAGAGAGAUACCAAGUUAAAUGAAAAGUGUGCCUCUGGACUGGAUCCUUUUACCUGAAGGACAUUAUUGAAUGGGAUCAGAAGAUGAGAUGGUGGUAAUCAUGCUAGAAAGCAAAGAGAAUGGGAACAAGGUAGCAAGAAGAGGAGUGAAGAUAGUGAAGGAGAAAAUGCUGAAUCGUCACUGGAGUCUUUCCUGGCCUAUAACAUGCUUUUGAAUGACUAGACAGAGAAGACUUCCCAUGGCCACGCAAGACUUGAGGCGCAGAGCAGACAAACAGAGAUCUUACAAUUGCUGGUUCUUUCCCCAAAUGCAUGCAACAGCCAGAGCUGGGCCAGGCUGAAGCCAGGAGCCCAGAAUUCCAUCUGAGUCUCCCAGCAGUAACACCUAUGGAUGGCCCAUGGAAGUACUCCUCAAAAGACGCUUUGGAAACUGUAAAUAGAGUCCAGUGAGCACAUUUUAAAGAUCAGGAAACUGAGGCACAGACAAGGUAAUAAAAUGGGAAAUUGUUAAACAGUCAUCCAUCUUCUAAGCAGUGUUAUCCUAAGUCCAGGAGGAGGCCUUCAGAGCAGCAGCCUGGUCAGCUGCAAACCUUCUUCAGACCUGCUCCCCUCAGUUCCAGCCCUGGAGACUAAGGAAGAUCACCUGGGGAUAAGAAGGGGUGGGACUGGUAAGGAGCCCCCCUGCCACAACUCCGCUCAUCUCAAGGGAAGGUGGAAGGUACACACGGUCUAGCUUGGGUGGGCACACGCUCCACUGCUACCAGAGGUGUUGCUUGCGACACGGCCUCAUACAUCCCAGCUUCUCCGUGCUCAUAUACAACAUUUUCUUUUUUUGUAACUUGGCUUCAGUGAAAAAGAGUAUUUAUAGUAAGCUACUCAUUGUUUACCUAAAGCAGUCUUAAAAAGCCCCGAGCAGGGGGCCUGUUAAAUAAACUCAGAAGUGGAAGACAGAUUUCCCUCUCUUAAUUGGGUACUAGAGCACUUGCCUUCUGAGGAGGAGAGUAAAGCUGACAUGAUGGGGAUUGUGAGUAAUGUGCCAGACCCCCAUCUCUACAGCAGUGUUGCUGGGCCAAGAAACCAGUGACCGUGCCCCAACCUCCCCCCCCCCCCCCCCAGACGGCCGGAAGUUCACAGAAACGAAAAUACUGAAAGCCGCCCGGCCAGGAUGAGGGUAAGGCCAUGAGGUUCUCACCUCAGGCCCAACGUUUAAGGGACAGCCAGAAUUUCAGUCAGCAAGAUAAAUUAAUGCAAUUUUUUAAAAGACAAGAUCCUGGGGCCUGCAUUGUGGCAUAGCAGGUAAACCACUGCCUGUGACACCUGCAUCCCAUAUGGGUGCAGGUUCGAGUCCCAGCUGCUCUACUUCUGAUCCAGCUUCCUGCUAAUAUGCCUGGGAAAGCAGUGGAGGAUGGCCCAAGUGCUUAGGCCCCUGCACCCAUAAGGGAGACCAGAAGCUCCUGGUUUCUGCCAGGCCCAGAUCUGGCCGAUGCUGUCAUUUGGGAAGUGAACCAGUGAAUGGAAGAUUUUUUUCCCUCUCUAACUCUGCAUUUCAGAUAAAUGAAAUAAAUCUUUAAAAAAAAAAAAAAAAGACAGGAUCCAGAGUAAGGUGAGCCACCAGGUUCAGGGUUUGUUCCUGUGCUUAGUAAAACUGUUGGUAUUUUGUUCAUCAUGGAUAUUUUUGCAUGCAGUUUAAAAUACUGCAUUAAAAUAGUAUUUAUAAUGAGGACAGAGUUUUUUGGUGUCCCCUUUAAUUGUAUACCCAUGGUGACAUUCUCACUUGCCUCCCCCAAGUCUGGGCCCUGGACAUCAUUUUUUCAUUGUAUGGAUAUGCAAAAGUAAACAUGUUUCCACUCUCAAGGAAUGUAAAAACCUAGUGUCCCUUCUUCUUUUGAAAAGCAAAUGGAAGGAUUAAAUGUGUAGAUAAUUUAUAUUACUAUCAGUGCUUCUCAAUAAAUAACCCAUUGUUGUUAGGACUUCUGCUUCUGGUACUAUAAGCCAGGCAAUUCAGACCAACCCUCACCAAAACUUUUGCAUUAAAAAAUAUGUAUUCUAAUUUUACCUAAAAGCAUCAGCAAGUUGAUAAAGUAGUAAGGAACCACAAGGCCAAGAUGUAAGGGCAUGCUUGAACCGCAGCUGCUCUGCCCUAGGAAUAUUUGCUGCUUGAGAUGAGCGUUGGCUUUGGAAACCUCUGGGAUUCAAAGGGAUGGAAGUUAUGGAGGGAUUUUAAGGUACAGAGACACACCAGCAGUGUCAUGGAGACAAAAAUAAACAUUAUAUACGUAUUGAGAUGUGCAAUUACAAAAAAAGUACAAAAAUAAAGGGCUGGCCCCAAGGAAGUCAAACACAGAGCACAAGUGGUAAAGGUGGCUAGCUGUAUGUCAAAGAGCUACCCUAAGACAAAAUGGGAUGGCCAGAUAAUCCUAGUAAGUUGGAGACGGACUGAAGGAGCAACACAACCACCUUUCGACCUCUGACAGUUCUAAGAGUCUUCCACUGCCCCGUGAAGUUACUCGUAAAUGAAAGAAUGGAAGGGUAGUCCCUGCUGACGUGCACCGGGUGCCCGUGUGGAGGCCAGCGGGGAAUUACUCAUGCUGAGGCAAACAUCGCUUCCUGUGGACGCCAGCAGGAAGGCCGGGGCCCACAAGCAAGCAUGCAGUGAGUACUGAACACAUCUCAGCCAGCAGACAACGCUUGGAUCUCCGCUUCCUCACCCAAGCCCUCUGGCAAUAAAUGGAUUCUACUUGUGACGUGGAUCCAUGCUGAAGGACCUCUGUGUGGGCCUCUUUUAGAAGAUGCGCGCAAAAUUACAAAGAGGAGAUCAUGAGGACCCUCCCCAGGGCUUUGUUCAGCAGCACAGAAAAUCCUUCCCGACUUGUUAGGUGACUUUGAAUCCUUCACUUGAAGUCAUUAAGCCUCAACUUCCUUAAAUGUCGAAGGGGAGUACCAGAACUAUUAAUUACUUCAUAAGAAUAUUAAGAAAGUUAAAUGAGCAAUCGGGGGAAGUUUUAACACAAAGCCUGGACUAGUCCUGCAUCUCCGUACAUGUCAUUCAUCACUACUGUUGAGCAAGGGAGAGAUGCAGUGAAGUGACUGAAGACCAGACUGCCCCAGGUGUCGGAAGUCAGAGAGGAGGGCAGGGCACAGGGACUUCGGAAAUGCUGGUCAUGUUUUUGCUUCUUGGAAUGAUUUUGUCUACACUAGCUUGCUCAACGUAGAAAAUUUCUUGGAGAUGUACACAUGAUUUUCAUACUUGUCUAUCUGAGAAUAUUGGUAAAAAAAUGGAAUUAACAGUUUAUUUUAGUACAAAAGUUUCUGAUACAGUUUUCCCAUAAUAUGUAGUUUCAUGAACUUUUUUAAAACUCCUCAUUAUGCAUGGAUUUCAAACAUUUUUUGUACCAAAAUAAAUGUACUUGAGGGGCGGAGAGAGAGUGCCCAUCCACUGAUUCAUUUCCGAAAUGCCUGUAACAGCCAGAGCUGGGCCUUGGCUAGAGCCACGAGCCAGAAACUCAAUCUAGGCCGCCCACUUGAGGCAGGAGCCUAACUGCUUCAGCCACUACUGCUGCCUCCCAGCUCUGCAUUGGCAGGAGGCAGAAGCUGGAGCCAGGAAAUGAACCCAGGCACUCUGAUGUGCAAUGCAGAUAUCUCAACUGCUACACUCAAUAUCUGCUGUCUGAACUUCUAAAAUGUCAUCUCCACAAACCUUUUGAAGUACCCCCUGUUACAUUUCAGUAAAAUUGAUUUUUGCUAAAUGUUCACGGCUUCAUGAGAAGGAAAAGGGCGAUGACAACUCACCAGGAGAAAGAGGGGGCUGAUGGCUACCCAGCAGAUCCUCCAGAACCAUCCAGGGCUGAAGCCAAGCAUCUCCUUGACAUCACUGCAGAACUGAGUGAUGCCUAAAAUCCAAACAGAGAGAUGGAGAGAGUGCACAGACUGUUCUUCCACCCCCUCAUCUCAGGACCAGCACCAGGAAUAGCCAGGAGGAAGGCAGCCGAAUUCCUGCUGUGGACAACUGUGGCCGGUCUGGAAGUUCCCCAGAGGAGGCUCGCAAGGACACUAACCUGGUCUUAACGUGGGUCUGGAGGAUUUGUCAUAAAACUGCAUUUUUUAAAAGAUGUGUUUAUCCAUUUGAGGGCAGAGUUAGAGAGAGGGAUCCUCCAUCAUCUGGUUCACUUCCCAAAUGGCACAACAGCUGGCCAGGCUGACGUGAGGAUCCUGGAACUCCAUUUGGGGAACUGGGUGCACCUGGGCCAUCCUCUGCUGCUUUCCCAGGAGCCAUUGGCAGGGAGCUGGAUUGGAAGUGGAGCAGCCAGGACUUGAACUGGCGCCCACAUGGGACGCUGGCUUCACAGGCAGCGUAUAACCUGCUGUACCACAACACCGGCCCCUAAAACUGCAUUUUUAUAACAAACAAAACUUUCUACACAGACCUGGAAGACUGAUGGACAUCUGGAGAGUGACCUAAUGCCCCAUUUGAUGCUCACACUGCCUUCAUAAAACCUGAGCGUGCAGUGGGUUUUAUUGUUAUUAUAGAAAACAAAAAUGACGACCCUUCCUAACAGAGACUGACUCUGUUUACUGGAGACUUUGAAGGAAAGUUUUAACCGUAAUAUUGCACAUUUCAUCUACAGAUCUAGAGCAGACUUCUACAGAAAGUAACAGGUGCCACAGUGAGAACUGAGCGCUCUGACCGGCGGUGAGAGAGAGAGAAGAGGAAGGUGCCGUGUGUGCUGUUGCUUCCUGAGCGCUCCCAGCAGUUCCUAGGGUGAACGUUACACUGAUUCACAAACUCUGAACUUUGUCCUCCGAGUUGCUGAGGACAGAGGGAGGACUUCUUUUGUUUAAACAGCACCAGGCCUGUGUGCAACUCGAAUGUACCCCCACCUUCUCCGUAAUAUGUGUAGUGUCUACCAUGCUAAAGAGGCUUUACCAUAGAAAGUAGGUAAAUAAACACAUUUUAAAAAUCAAACAGUCGGGGCUGCCACUAUGGUGUAACAGGUUAAGCCUAUGCCAGCAUUCCAUAUGGGUGCUAGUUCAUGUCCCAGCUGCUCCACUUCUGAUUCAGCUGCCUGCUAAUGUCCUGGGAAGGCAGUGGAAGGUAGCCCAAGUGCUUAGGCCCCUGCCACCCACAUGGGAGACCCAGACGAGUCUCUUGGCUUUACCUAGCCCUUGCUGUUGCAGCCACUUUGGAAGUGAACCAGAGAAUGGAAGAUCUCUCCCUCUAUCCAUCCCUUGCUCUCUAACUCUGCCUCUCAAAUACAUAAACCUUUAAAAAAAAAAAAACAAGAAACAGUCACUUCUUGGUUUUAAAAGGAUCAUCUCUGAACCUGGUUUCAUCUCAGUUGCCUAUACCCUCCCACUCCCUGCCCAGGCACUGGGAGCUCUGCCAUUGGGCCCAUGUCAGCUCGACCCUGUGCUCCUGGAGGUUUCACUCUGAUGAAAUGCCAGUGCAGGGCCCGAGCAGGCAGACCGAGGACUUUACCAGGGCAAAUCACACAGGUAAGAGCACUCGCCUCUUCCCUAGGAGAGGAGCUCCUAAGCCCCGCUUAGCAGUAGUAAAUUUACUGUGUACUCAGCAAGUGCAUUUGCUGCACACUCCUUCCAUGCUGUCUGUCUCUCCAAGUCUUAGAGCCCACCAAGAUCUUAAACCACUGCCACAGAUGAGCUAUGUGGAACCCCUCUACUCUGUCUCCACUGGGUAAACCUUCAAACUCAGCAGGCAAAACAAGUCCUCCGGGGGGCAGGCAAUCUGUGCACAGAGCGCAGAGGCAAUGCUGAGCUCUCGUCUCAAGAAGGCACCCAGGUGAGGUUGUCUUACGCACCCAUCAGAAAGUCACACCUUCUGAAUCGCCCCUCCCUGCCUUUCUUGGGUGAAACCAGCCCUCCUCAUUGGGUGCCAGCUGAGGAGGGUGGAGGAAGGAUCUCUGGUGGAGGAGGCAUUUGGCACAGUGGUACGCUGCCGCUUGGGACAUCAUCAACCCAUACUGGAACGCCUGGGUUUGAGUGCCAGCUCCGCUUCCAGUUCCAGCUUCCCGCAGCUGUGAGCUCUGGGAGGCAUUAGGUGAGAUGCCUCGAAGAGUUGGGUCCCCGUGGGAUAUGUGGAUUGAAUCAAGGGAUUUAAGACAGAUCUCUGCCUUCCAAAUAAAUAAAACCCAUAAAUAAAAUUUUAAAAAAGAAAGGAUCUCUGCUGGCUGAAGGAAGCAUCUUACCGUAGAACCAAGACACAGCGACUGCUUCUAUGAGCGCGACGGUCAGCACUGCCGGCCCUGUUGCGUACUCCUCCAGCAGCUUCACCACGUAGGCACCUCCCUGGGGACGAGAUCGAGAGCCUGGGUAAGGUCCUCUGAGGCGUUGCCCCUCCUUACCACGGGGGCCCGAAGGUGUAUCUUAGGUCCAAGGUAGGGAUUUUCCAGAAUUAUUGUUAUCCUAAAUAUUCCAGAGCCUGCCUCCAGGACUGGCCUUUGCAGCGUGGGCCACGUUGCACCCUACCAGGCAGCUGCACCUGCCCUGUGGAGCACGUUCAUCUUGCACUCUCCCCUCACUAAGCUUUAAGAGAGCCCCAAAGGGUCCCUGGGUCUGUUUCCAGCUCUCUUCAGUUUCCUGAGCACCUCCUGUAUACCCUAUCCUCGAGACUUCCCGCCUCUAGAGAGAGGAAGACAACGCGAUACCAGGUACACUGGGCACCUUGGUCACGGUCUGUCUUCUCUGUUAACCCUGUCUGACUGCCUUGGCUCCUUCUCCAGCUGAAGCCCCAGAGUGGUUGCAGCCAUGGCUUGAAGAUGCCUAGCUAUAAACGCCACAGUGAGUCAGGAGGACACAGCCCGCAGGGACCAUCUGAGGCACUCUGUACAAUAUUUAUCUCAGCUAAUAAUUUAAAAAAGAAAUCACCAGCAAGGGUCUCACGUCUUUACCAUAGUAACCUCUAGAGGAGACAAAUGCAUUACCCAUGACACUCCAGCCUCCAGCUAUUCUGCCUAAGAGGCCAUGAGGGCAGUAUUCCCACGAAAGCAGCCCUAUGGAGUGGAAAGAGACUGGGAAAACAACUCCUGGUGUUUCUGCAGGUGUUUGGCCAUGCCUGAAAUCGAGUGAGGUCUACUGUAGAAUGCUGAGAGCCUCUGGACACCACAGAGAGCUCAGAACAAACUUUCUUCUAGACGCAAAACCUAAUAGCAGUAACAUUUCCCUUCCUUGAGCCCCAAAGCCAGGGCACUGCGUGAGGCAGAAAGAAACUGCUUCCUUUAGCAUUCUGUUGUCUUAGGGGAGGUCGGCUCAGAGCUGAGGGGGGUGGUACUUACAAAAGUCAGGGUGAUCAGGGAGCCAAAGAAGCAGGUAAUGACCACAAGGAGCACGAACCACUCCCGACGCUUGGCCCAGAUAUGUGGAAACUCAUCCAGCACGGCCGUGAUCACCCCCUCCAAGCCUGCGAACUGGGAGGUACACACAGGUGGUCAGCAGGGAGGCUCUGGGACAGUGGACCGGAGGAAGGGCAAGACUGCCGUGUGAGCAGUCCAGCGGAUCGUGACCAGUUGGCCAGACGUACUGGCCCAUGGAGACAUCCUGCUUUAUGCUGUCACUCAACCCAUCACUAAGGACAUCCAGGAAAGAAAAGCUUGGUAUGUGAGCUCCUGUGGGAGACUGGUUACACCAUGAAGGCCACCUUGGUGCUGAGACUCACUCCACACGCAUCGGCGCACUGAGCUGAAUGCUGGGCAGGACUGCACCUUGGCUGGUAGGUGGAUCAUGCCGUCAAGGGACCGUGCAGUGACAGGUCACAUAUGCUUCCCCAGCAUCACCCCAUUAGUGUCUUAACCCAUUAACUCCCGAGUUUUCAAUUCAGCAGAAAUUUUAAUAUUUCAUAGUUAUUGUAAGUAAUAUAUUGAUUACUGUCUUUUUUAAGAGAACACAUUUAUUUGGAAGGCAAAGCUGUAGAGAGAGAAGGGAGAAAGAACUUCCAUCUGCUGGUUCACGCCCCAGAUGGCUGCAAUAGCCACAUCUGGGCCAUGCUCAAGCCAGGAGCUCCAUUCUGGUCUCUCAUGUGAGUGGCAGAGCCCCAAGCACUUGGGCCAGCUGCUGCUGCUGCUUUCCCGGAUGCAUUAGUAGGGAACUGGAUCAGAAGAACAGCAGCAAGGAUUCAAGCCAGCACUCUGCUAUGGGAUGCCAGCUGCAAAUGGUGGCUUAACCUACUGCACCACCAUGCCUGUGCCCUCCAUUUGGGUUUUUGUAGGAGAUAGACAGACAGACAAUGGGAUCUAAUGGGUUAAGGUACUAGAGGUGGUAAGUACCAUUACCAGGUGAACAAGCACCUGGGCAAUGCCGGGAGAGGUGGCCAACAAGGCCUGGACCGACUCAGUGGGAGGGGAUGGGUACAGCCACCUGCCACCUCCUCUCCUCUCCAGAGCCCAUUUUCCUCCCCAUUCACUCACCGUGCUGUCCAAGCCCAGUGUGAUUAACAUCAGGAAGAAGAUGAUGGCAAAGAAAGUGGAUGCUGGCAUGUUGGCUAUGGCUUCCGCAUACGUGAUGAAGAGGAGGCUGGGGCCUGAGACAGGGGAGAGAGGAGGACGUGAACGCUGAGACCUGACCUGCAAAGAUGUCGCCACAGAACAGCCACCCCAACGACACACGUGACUCAGGCAUUAACAUGAACCUAGUGCUUUGCUUCCUCGUGCUCCACACACAUUUCCUGGCUACCCCAACAUUCUGGGAGGCAUCCACUCUGAGAAUAUUGUGCCCUCAAUUAACAUGGGGGAAAGAACUGGCCCACGACCCGAAGACCAGCAACGCUGCACACAAGGUUAGGAGUUUCCACUGUGUGACUGACUGUCCAGAGGGGACUUUUAUCGGGGCAAGAUUGGUAAUUUCUGAAAUCCCAUGGCAAUCAGCCCCCUUUGAUAUCGUUUGUUCCAGAACAGUAGGAUAUGUUGCUUUCCAUAGUGUCGCAGUGGCCUUAAAAAACAAGACCUCCUGCUAUUGUAAAGUGGCAUGAGGGACACAUCUUCCACCCCCACGGGCCAGCCAGGAGCACUGCUGUCACAGAUGCCAGGUGGGUCAAAGCACCACAGCAGGCCAAAGACACAGGUGUAUUGGCAAGAAAAUCCUGGGAUUUUGUUGCUCUUUUUUCUUGGAAACCUCACAGUACAGCACAAUGGCCGUGUCAGCUACAUUUUAUUUUUCUGCAAGCACAGUUUUAAGGUCUAAUAAUUAUUUGCUUACCAGACUUGGACCCAUUACAGGACUCAAAUCUGGACUCAAAGCCAUCAUCCAGCCCAUGGGAUAUGGAAGGCCUUACCCAGUCCUGGGAGCCUCAGGGAGCUGCUUCCCCUCCCCAGCCGCCAGCCCCCCUCCACCACAGCCUGAACACAUGGAAAGGGGUGAGAUCCCCACGGCAUGUUUCUCUCAAACCUCUGAAAUUGUAUAGGAACACUUAGAAAUAAUUCAGAAAUCAGAUACUGGUCAAGAUCAAAGCAAUCCAGCAGGAGCAAGGAGCCUAAAGAGAGCCUGGGGUCCUACCUGCGUCUCUGGCCACCUCAGACACAUCUUCGUUCCUCAUCUCUGCCAUGUACCCAAGCACCGUGAAGAUGACGAAUCCAGAAACGAAGCUGGUCAUGCAGUUGACCACACUGGUCACCAGGGCAUCUCUGGAGUGGAAAACCCGAAGAGCUAAGACAGUUCCGAGGCAUGGCCUGUGCCAACCCUGCUGAGCAGGGCCCGCCUGGCAAGACCAGAGGCCACACUCAAAGGAACUCAAGCCUGCCUCUUCCCUCCGAUAGCCCAGCCUCUCCGAUCGGAAGCACAAACUGCUAUGACCACACGCAUGGCCUGGGGACAAGAGCAGAGAGAGGUGGGUGCUCUGGUCAUGGGUGAAUUGGCCAGGGACCUGUGACACCACCGAGGGGCACAGUCAUCACCUGAGCCCAGUCAGGUUUGAGGCCAUAGUUUUUUUUCUUUUCUUUUCUUUUCUUUUUUAGGGCCAUUUCAGUACGCCGCCUUCGUCCACUCCAGCUGACCUAUCCUCACUUGACUUUGAGCCUUUGCUGGGGGCUGCAUAUACUCACUGGUAACAGUUGUUGUUGAAUUUGUUGUAGCUGGCAAAGGCCAACAGGACCCCAAAGCCCGGCCCGAGAGAGAAGAAGAUCUGAGCAGCAGCGUCCACCCACACCUGGAACACAGCAGGGAAGGGGUGCAGGGGUGAGGGCCGAGAUUCAGGCCAGGGCUGGGCAUGGCAGGGCCUGCGUACCCCAUGCACUGACACAGAGGCGCAGAUAGGAGAACUAAUAUUCGAGGUUCAUUCCAGGAUGGCCACGUAGCAAGUACAGAUAUGUGCAAUCUCUCUCCCUGUCAUUUAGCAUAAACCCAUCCAGUGGACUCAAACUGUAGUGUUUAAUGCUUAUAUUUCUGGCUCAAUUGCAGAUGUGCGCAUUGAAACUAAAUGUCACCCGCCCCUGCUGUCAGAGAAGGACUAGCUUCAUUUAGGAAAAUGACAGGCUCAGUUCCCCUGCGCGUCUUACCCCUGUCUCGAGGAGCUUUUGCCAGUUGGGUUUCAGGUAGAAGAGAACACCCCUCCAGGCUCCAGGGAGGGUGGCCCCCCUCACCAGCAGGAUGGACAGGAUGAUGUAGGGGAAAGUGGCCGUCACCCACACCACCUGUGAGGAAGGAGAGCAGACAGGGCAUCACCAUGCUGUUGCAGGGAGGGCGGGGCGCAGAUGGCGCAUGCCAGCGUCAUUCCUGAAGAUGUCGGGGUAAGGAGGUCUGUCCCUUCCUGUCAUUUCAGGAGGCAGGCUGGUGUGGAGGAAAGGCCACAGCCUUCAGCGUGAGGCCGAGAGCAGAGUCAGCAUGGCCAGGGGCUGUACUCAGACGUGAAAUGGGGAAAAGAUCUAGUGGGAAACAAGAGUGUUAGCCAAUGGAAAGUGCUGAGCAUGUCCAUGUAAACUGUCACCACUAUUGUGACAGCAGAACCCACUGGUUAAAGAAACUGAAAAAUAAAUUAGGUGCUGGUGCUGUGGCGCAGCGGGUUAAAGCCCCAGCCUGUAGUGCCGGCAUUCCAUAUGGGUGCAGGUUCGGGUCCUGGCGGCUCCUCUUCCGAUCCAGCUCUCUGCUGUGCCCUGGGAAAGCAGUAGAAGAUGGCCCAAGUGCUUGGGCCUCUGCACCCGCAUGGGAGACCUGGAGGAAGCUCCUGGCUCCUGGCCACAGAUCAGCUCAGCUCUGGGUGUUGCAGUCAUUUGGGGAGUGAACCAGCAGAAUGGAAGACCUGUCUCUCUCUCUGGCUCUACUUUUCUCUGUAACUCUGUCUUUCAAAUAAAUAAAAUCUUUUUAAAAAUCAAUCAAUCAAUUAGAUAAUGGCUCUUGGAAUUGACCUAUUUCUAGAAUUUUCUAACAUGGUCAAGAAAGAGACGGAGCAUCACAGGAUGUGUUAGGUAUAAAGGAAACAAUGGCUGUGCCCUGGCCAGUCUGCAUCGGCAGCCAGGUCCUCCUCACCUUGCCAGAUGUUUUGACACCUUUCCAGAUGCUGAAGUAGAUAACAGUGAAGAUCAGCAUGAUGCAGAGGGCAAGCUGCCAGCUGAUGCCCCCCAGGGCCUGGAGCCCCUGAGACCGGUGGAUCUGCAAGACGUGGCGCCUGCAGGGAGAGAAAGAAAGGCCCCUGAGAGAUCUGGACAGUGACCUGAACACACACACACUGACACAUCCAGGAAGGUAGCCAGGGGAAAAGGACACUGUGCUACAAGGACCAAGUGGUCACUGGGCCACAGGAAGGGUUGGCACUGGCCCUGCCCCACCGAUGGGGUUAGCAGCACAUCUGGCUGACUGUGUGUGACAGU